rnacentral:rRNA from 1 species
UAGGGAAUCUUCCACAAUGGACGAAAGUCUGACGGAGCAACGCCGCGUGAACGAUGAAGGCCUUCGGGUCGUAAAGUUCUGUUGUUAGGGAAGAACAAGUAUCGGAGUAACUGCCGGUACCUUGACGGUACCUAACCAGAAAGCCACGGCUAACUACGUGCCAGCAGCCGCGGUAAUACGUAGGUGGCGAGCGUUGUCCGGAUUUACUGGGCGUAAAGAGCGCGCAGGCGGUCGUGCAAGUCGCGUGUGAAAGCCCCCGGCUCAACUGGGGAGGGUCACGCGAUACUGUUCGACUCGAAGGCAGGAGAGGGAAGUGGAAUUCCCGGUGUAGUGGUGAAAUGCGUAGAUAUCGGGAGGAACACCAGUGGCGAAGGCGACUUCCUGGCCUGUUCUUGACGCUGAGGCGCGAAAGCUAGGGUAGCAA